AUGUAAAUAUAGUUUAACUAAAACGCUACGCUGUGGACCUAGCAACAAGGACAAACGUUCUUUAUUUACC
rnacentral:tRNA from 1 species